GUGCCAGCAGCCGCGGUAAGACGAACCACCCAAACGUUAUUCGGAAUUACUGGGCUUAAAGAGUGCGUAGGCGGCCCUGAAAGUAAGGUGUGAAAUCCCACAGCUCAACUGUGGAACUGCGCUUUAAACUACAGGGCUAGAGGGAUACAGAGGUAAGCGGAACUGAUGGUGGAGCGGUGAAAUGCGUUGAUAUCAUCAGGAACACCGGUGGCGAAGGCGGCUUACUGGGUAUCUUCUGACGCUGAGGUACGAAAGCUAGGGGAGCGAACGGGAUUAGAUACCCCAGUAGUCC
rnacentral:rRNA from 1 species